rnacentral:tRNA from 2 species
GCCGGAGUGGCGGAAUUGGUAGACGCAGUUGAUUCAAAAUCAACCGCCUUCGGGUGUGCCGGUUCGAGUCCGGCUUUCGGCACCA